rnacentral:rRNA from 1 species
UACGUAGGCAGCAAACGUUGUUCGGAAUUACUGGGCGUAAAGAGUGUGUAGGCGGUUUCGUAAGUUUGGUGUGAAAUCUCCCGGCUUAACUGGGAGGGUGCGCCGAAAACUGCGAGGCUUGAGUACUGGAGAGGAGAGCGGAAUUCCUGGUGUAGCGGUGAAAUGCGUAGAUAUCUGAAGGAACAUCAGUGGCGAAAGCGACUUCCUGGACCAAUACUGACGCUCAGGUGCGAAAGCGUGGGGAGCAAACAGG